rnacentral:rRNA from 1 species
UACAGAGGGUGCGAGCGUUAUUCGGAAUUACUGGGCGUAAAGCGUGCGUAGACGGCUAUCUAAGUCGGGUGUGAAAGCCCCGGGCUCAACCUGGGAAUUGCAUUCGAGACUGAAUAGCUAGGGUGCGGUAGAGGGAAGCGGAAUUUCCGGUGUAGCGGUGAAAUGCGUAGAUAUCGGAAGGAACAUCAGUGGCGAAAGCGGGUUGCUGGGCUGAUACUGACGCUGAGGCGCGAAAGCCAGGGGAGCGAACGGG